rnacentral:misc_RNA from 1 species
CAAAACGCGUCGUUUUUUCACAUGCACAAUGUGCUGUGAUCCACCGAGGUGGUUUUCUCCCCAGAGCUCUGGAAAACCGAAAUCACGAAGCCGUCGCUGCUGCCACACAGACCCGCUGCUUUUCUUCCCCGUUCUGCCUAUUUACAUGUUUGUAGGUUGGAAAGGUGAUUGCAAAAUUGAAAUAUCUUGAGUAAUAUCUGUGCUUAUUUUGCUUUUGAGAUUGAAUUUCUGGUAUGUAUAAUUUUUUAAUGGUUUUUUCAUCGUUGAUUAUGAUAUCCAGGUUUAGGGCUUUAACACAGUUAUAGUUGUUGAAAAUCUUAAAACAUUAUGAUGAGACGUUCAGUUUUGAAUUGAUGAAUCGAUGCGAAGUUCAUUUAUGGGGCAGCCUCAAUUUGUAAUAAGUGGUUGUAAUCUGUUCAAUACAAAGGAUAGUGGUGCGUUUGUAAUUGAUAAGACUCUGAUUAAUAUGGUAAAUGAAUUUAUAUAGGUUGACUAAUUGACAGAAAGAUUAUUAGUUUGGGUGAAAGGGGGAUUGUUAGAAGUGAACAAUGCUAAUUCGGCUACACAAGCAAUCUUCAGAAAGUGGUGGAGGAGUGGUGAAGCCCUUGCCAGUGGAUGCUGUGACGGUUGCAUGCCCCGAUCACCUGGUACUUUCCGAUCUCCCUGUAGCUAAGGGUAUUGGAGCGGCUACUGCAGCUACUGUUGUAAAAACUGUGGGUCGCAGAUCCAGACGCCAGCUUGGUGAACGAGCCCAUUUCUGUGUCCGCUGUGACUUCCCGAUUGCUAUCUAUGGACGCCUGAGCCCCUGCGAGCAUGCGUUCUGUCUUGAUUGCGCCAGGAGUGAUUCAAUCUGCUAUCUGUAAGGAGAUAUCUGAUCUUGCUUAUUCAUUAACAUUCACAUAAGCUACCUAAUUUCACUGUGAUUAUUUGUUGCAAUAGUCAAAACUCCAAGUUGUUUGUGAUGGUUCUUCAAAAUUCUCUCUCUCUCCUCAUUGUUUAAAGGUAAUUUCUCUGCUCAGAACAAGGACCAAUUAAUCAUAUGCUUCUUAGUAAUAAUUCCUGGAACCUUAUUGGAACUGAGUAAAAUUCAUGGAACCUUCUAGUUACUAGGAGUGAAUUGUGAGUUAUGAAUUAUGAUCAUAAAGUUCUUCAUGGAUUUUGGUCUUGAGCUUGUAGUGAUUAAUAAGUCUACCUUGAGUCUGAACCUGUGAAAAGUUGUUUGGAUGCUAAUCGUGUCACCUAGCUAAAUGAGAAAUAACUGCCAACCCCAAGAAAAGCACAUUCAGAGAGAUAAAGAGAGUUCUUAUGCUCGUGAUGCUGCUGCUGCCUGUUCUAUCCCUGUCCAGUGAUGGUGCCCUUUAAAGGGGAGAUCUAACCAAGACCCUCUAGCAGCUACCUGAUUGGCUUGACUUAAUAGCUGUGUAUUAUUAGUUGCAUUUUUAUGUUUUUUCUCACAUCAUGUAAAUGCUGCUUAGAGUUCAAAGUGUGAGAUGAUAAUCAAAUGCUUCUUAUGCUGUGGAUCUGUUGGCACAAGGUCAAGCCGGAAAUUUCAGCAGCUCUGUUUCAUUGUGAUAACCUAUAUUAACCUUGAUUUAGUUUGUCUAUGAACAAGAAGAUGACAUUUUGUUAUUAACUCAUUAGCUUGUGAGUCAGAUGCUUGAUGAACAAGGCCAAUUUUUCGCUGGGGGUUCAUUACUGUAAUCUAUCUGUUCUUUGCUCUAUUGAAACUCUUAUGCAUUGUUAUUGAGCAAUGUACUCUCAUCUCUCAUGGAACACAGUUGUGAUGAACGCAUCCAGAAGAUUCAGACAAUUAAAAUGAUGGAGGGGAUCUUCAUCUGCGCAGCCCCUCACUGUCUCAAAUCUUUCUUGAAGGGGUCCGAGUUUGAAUCUCACAUUCAUGAGAACCACACCGACCUUCUACAGCCAAAUUCAGAGGAGAAUGGUAAUGAAUCAGAGGUUCAAAGUACCAAACAACAUUCAGCUUCAGAUUCCAUAGUUCGAGCUUCCUCUAGGCUAGUCAUACCUGGAUCAAAUUCUCAGUUUCUUGAUUCUGAAGACAAAGCUCAUAGGCAGCAGCCUAGAGAACAGCCAUCUAGGCCAAUGAUGCAACCAAGACCUCCUUAUUUUGGUCAUUAUUCAUCAGAUCCUCAGCCGGACAGUAAUCGUCCCCCUGGCAUUGACCGGCCUGGCAUCCAGAAUCAUUUCCAGCAAAGCAUGCAGGGUGGCCCACAACAAGAAUCCAACCAGUUUUCAGACAAGCAGCAGGGAAAUUUAUCUGAGACCCCAAUACCUGAAUACCCGCCUAUGCAUCCUAUUCAAUCUCCUAAUUUUGUUGUACCAAUGAAUUCUAAUCCACUGAUGACUCCUCAAUAUGGUCUACCUCCUUUCCAACCCGAGGGAGCUCAGCCAUUUUAUGGUGCACCCUAUGAGAUGGGGCAGAUGGCUAGGCCAGAUUCAGCCCCAGAAGUUGGAGCAGAACAAGGAUCUUUGUUGGGUUUCCCACCAGGUCCAGCAGGAGGUGUGAAUUUCAUGUCAAACUAUCCACAGCCCUGGAACUCUGGACCAACCUCAGGGGGUCAGGCAAUUCCAGAUGGUUUUCCAAACCAUUCAGAUUCUCGGGGAAAUGCUGCAUAUUAUCAAGGUGAUUAUGGACGGAAUCCAGGAGUUGUACCAAUGAUUCCUCCACCACCACCCUCUGCCAACAAGGGGAUGGAAGCUGCGCAGGGUGGUACAAUGGAUUCCAGGGAUGGCAAAGGUAUACUGGCACCACAGCCAUUUCCACACCCACCACCACCACCUCCACCCCCCUUGCCUCACUUAUCUCACCCUAAAGGAGGCAAGUACUACGCUGGUGAUAUGGGUCUUGAGGGACAGGGUUUUGGGUGGCAGCAUGAGAACCGUGAUGGCUUUGGAAGUGGCCAGGAGUAGUGAAACUGUUGGUUUUUGCUCCUAAACCAUCUAUUUUUUGUACUGGACUUGUUUCGUCGAUCUGCUCUUUUUCUUCUUCUCGCUUUUGGUGGUUAGCCUUUUAUUCAAUUGAUCAGUUGGCUUAUUGUCUCUCUUUUUUUUUCCUUUUCUUUUUCUUCUCCUAAUUUGCUCGUGUCUCUGUCUCAGCUUAUGCAAAAAUUAUAUUGAAUUUGCCUGGAGCCAUUCAGUAAAUAUUUCAAGAAAUGAGCCCCACUUAACUUGAUGCUUAAUAGUAAUUUUGCCUCGAAACUCCAUCGUACAAAGCUACAGCAUGUAGUAACUCCAAAAUGUUGCUUAACAUACAAGAUCCUCUUGGUUGAUUAUAACUUCACUCACCAGUGAAUUGUGAAUUAGUACCAUACGAGCGGAAACAAACUUGGCUUCGUCAGUUCGUAUAGCAGUAUGAUUACUUCUCUUGCAAGCAUCUAGCUAACAAUCAGACUGAUGUACUUAACAUUUUGCCACUAUCUCAUUCACGAUAAGAUCGUUUCAUUGUGGCUUUACAUGUCAAUCUUUCUUGGAUAUGCCUAAUGCUCAAGACAAUGUUACUCUCUGACUCUCUCUCCUUCUCCCUAUCUCUGUUUCUUUAUCCCUCCAUUUCUGCAACACCAACAAAAGCUAAUACCACAAAAACUAGAUUGAAAAUUAACA